ACCGUAAUAAAAAUACGGCGCUGACUUCUAUAGACGAAAAUUUACUGUCAAUCUAACACCAUCCUAUGUCGAUCUGACGCUGUCCGAUGUUGAAUUACCAAAUUGACCGUAAAAAUUUCUCUAUAGUAGUCCACAUCGGCCCAUUUUAGUCAAUUUCAACGUCACCAUUUUUGCAGUGUGGUAUAAACGUGGCGGAUUGAAUAACAAAUGUUUGACGAAAUUAUAUGUAUACCUAUCGUCAUUAAGUAACUACAGUCUACGGAAGGAUGCCAGCUUUAACAUGGAAGUUGGCGUAUCAGAAAAAUUGAAUCGCGAAGAUAGAAAACCCAGCGCUGCCGAUGAAACACUUAUCAACGUAUGCCUUUACCUGCGAUCGUUAUCAAAUUGCUAAGAAUACCAACUCGCAUUUCGGCUAGUUUGCUCUCC